UGCGCAGGCGGUUUUGUAAGACAGUGGUGAAAUCCCCGGGCUCAACCUGGGAACUGCCAUUGUGACUGCAAGGCUGGAGUGCGGCAGAGGGGGAUGGAAUUCCGCGUGUAGCAGUGAAAUGCGUAGAUAUGCGGAGGAACACCGAUGGCGAAGGCAAUCCCCUGGGCCUGCACUGACGCUCAUGCACGAAAGGCGUGGGGAGCAAACA
rnacentral:rRNA from 1 species